AUGAGGCAUAUUUUUAGAUCAAAGUAUUAUGACUUCAAAUAUCCAAUACAUCAUCAUAUAAAACCAAAAGGGAAAGAUACAUAUCCAGAUUUUUCGAUUGAGAGAAAAACCCAUUGCAAUUUCAAGAUGUUACAGAAUAUCAUGGUUCAUCCAAAGUCACCAUGUCACGUUCCAAGUUUUGAUCGUAAGCCCAUUCACAUAUUGGAAAUAAUCCAAAACCAUUAUAAAUUCAGACCAUUAUACCUAUAA